rnacentral:rRNA from 1 species
UACGUAGGGGGCAAGCGUUGUCCGGAAUCAUUGGGCGUAAAGCGCGUGUAGGCGGUUUGGUAAGUCCGCUCUGAAAGUCCGGGGCUCAACCCCGGAAGGCGGGUGGAUACUGUCAGACUAGAGUGCGGAAGAGGCGAGUGGAAUUCCCGGUGUAGCGGUGAAAUGCGCAGAUAUCGGGAGGAACACCAAUUGCGAAGACAGCUCGCUGGGACGUAACUGACGCUGAGGCGCGAAAGCGUGGGGAGCAAACAGG